GGACUACCCGGGUUUCUAAUCCUGUUUGCUCCCCACGCUUUCGCGUCUCAGCGUCAGUAAUCUUCCAGGUGGCCGCCUUCGCCACAGGUGUUCCUCCCGAUAUCUACGAAUUUCACCUCUACACCGGGAAUUCCGCCACCCCCUCCGAUACUCAAGUCUGAUAGUUUUGGAUGCAGUUCCUCGGUUAAGCCGAGGGAUUUCACACCCAACUUAUCAAACCGCCUACACGCGCUUUACGCCCAGUAAUUCCGAACAACGCUUGCACCCUCUGUAUUACCGCGGCUGCUGGCAC
rnacentral:rRNA from 1 species